GAUGAACGCUGGCGGCGUGCCUAAUACAUGCAAGUCGAGCGAACAGACGAGGAGCUUGCUCCUCGGACGUUAGCGGCGGACGGGUGAGUAACACGUGGAUAACCUACCUAUAAGACUGGGAUAACUUCGGGAAACCGGAGCUAAUACCGGAUAAGAUAUUGAACCGCAUGGUUCAAUAGUGAAAGACGGUUUUGCUGUUUCUUAUAGAUGGAUCCGCGCCGCAUUAGCUAGUUGGUAAGGUAACGGCUUACCAAGGCAACGAUGCGUAGCCGACCUGAGAGGGGGGUCGGCGACAUUGGAGCUGGACCGCGGUCCAGGCGCCUGCGGGACGCAGCAGUCGGGAAUCUUACGCAAUGGGCGAAAGCUUGGCGGAGUGACGCCGCGUGAGUGAUGAAGGUGUUCGGAUCGUAAUACCCUGUUAUUAGGGAAGAACAAAUUUGAAAGUAACUAUGCAGGUCUUGACGGUACCUAAUCAGAAAGCCCCGGCUAACUACGUG
rnacentral:rRNA from 1 species